GAAAUGGCUCUUUUCAGAGCCCUAAAAUUAUUUUUUUAAAGAGUUU
rfam:Lutzomyia longipalpis Contig11735, whole genome shotgun sequence.